AGUAGCGGCGAGCGAACGGGGAGGAGCCCAGAGCCUGAAUCAGUGUGUGUGUUAGUGGAAGCGUCUGGAAAGGCGCGCGAUACAGGGUGACAGCCCCGUACACAAAAAUGCACACAUUGUGAGCUCGAUGAGUAGGGCGGGACACGUGGUAUCCUGUCUGAAUAUGGGGGGACCAUCCUCCAAGGCUAAAUACUCCUGACUGACCGAUAGUGAACCAGUACCGUGAGGGAAAGGCGAAAAGAACCCCGGCGAGGGGAGUGAAAAAGAACCUGAAACCGUGUACGUACAAGCAGUGGGAGCCUCUUAAUGAGGUGACUGCGUACCUUUUGUAUAAUGGGUCAGCGACUUAUAUUCUGUAGCAAGGUUAACCGAAUAGGGGAGCCGAAGGGAAACCGAGUCUUAACUGGGCGUUAAGUUGCAGGGUAUAGACCCGAAACCCGGUGAUCUAGCCAUGGGCAGGUUGAAGGUUGGGUAACACUAACUGGAGGACCGAACCGACUAAUGUUGAAAAAUUAGCGGAUGACUUGUGGCUGGGGGUGAAAGGCCAAUCAAACCGGGAGAUAGCUGGUUCUCCCCGAAAGCUAUUUAGGUAGCGCCUCGUGAAUUCAUCUCCGGGGGUAGAGCACUGUUUCGGCAAGGGGGUCAUCCCGACUUACCAACCCGAUGCAAACUGCGAAUACCGGAGAAUGUUAUCACGGGAGACACACGGCGGGUGCUAACGUCCGUCGUGAAGAGGGAAACAACCCAGACCGCCAGCUAAGGUCCCAAAGUCAUGGUUAAGUGGGAAACGAUGUGGGAAGGCCCAGACAGCCAGGAUGUUGGCUUAGAAGCAGCCAUCAUUUAAAGAAAGCGUAAUAGCUCACUGGUCGAGUCGGCCUGCGCGGAAGAUGUAACGGGGCUAAACCAUGCACCGAAGCUGCGGCAGCGACACUAUGUGUUGUUGGGUAGGGGAGCGUUCUGUAAGCCUGUGAAGGUGGCCUGUGAGGGUUGCUGGAGGUAUCAGAAGUGCGAAUGCUGACAUAAGUAACGAUAAAGCGGGUGAAAAGCCCGCUCGCCGGAAGACCAAGGGUUCCUGUCCAACGUUAAUCGGGGCAGGGUGAGUCGACCCCUAAGGCGAGGCCGAAAGGCGUAGUCGAUGGGAAACAGGUUAAUAUUCCUGUACUUGGUGUUACUGCGAAGGGGGGACGGAGAAGGCUAUGUUGGCCGGGCGACGGUUGUCCCGGUUUAAGCGUGUAGGCUGGUUUUCCAGGCAAAUCCGGAAAACCAAGGCUGAGGCGUGAUGACGAGGCACUACGGUGCUGAAGCGACAAAUGCCCUGCUUCCAGGAAAAGCCUCUAAGCAUCAGGUAACAUCAAAUCGUACCCCAAACCGACACAGGUGGUCAGGUAGAGAAUACCAAGGCGCUUGAGAGAACUCGGGUGAAGGAACUAGGCAAAAUGGUGC
rnacentral:rRNA from 1 species